rnacentral:rRNA from 1 species
UGCAAAUUGGAUCACCCUGAGCUAACCAGCUAGCUUAAUCAUCACUAUAAUUUAACAAUAUUUAUAACAACACAAGACUUAACCCCACAAACUAAACCAUUUUUUUACCUGAGUAUGGGAGACAGAAAAGGUUCACCCAAAGCAAUAGAGAAAGUACCGCAAGGGAAAGCUGAAAGAGAAAUGAAAUAACCCAUAUAAGCACUGAAAAACAAAGACUAAACCUUGUACCUUUUGCAUCAUGAUUUAGCCAGCACCCUCAAGCAAAGAGAUCUUUAGUUUGAUACCCCGAAACCAGGUGAGCUACCCCGAGACAGCCUAUGUAAUUUAGGGCUAACCCGUCUCUGUGGCAAAAGAGUGGGAAGAGCUCCGGGUAGAAGUGACAGACCUACCGAACCUGGUGAUAGCUGGUUGCCUGGGAAAUGAAUAGAAGUUCAGCCUCGCACACCCUUAAUCAAGAAACAUACCGUCAAGACAUUAUGGAAAAAUACGAGAGUUAGUUGAAGGGGGUACAGCCCCUUUAACAAAGGAUACAACCUUUACAGGAGGAUAAAGAUCAUAAUAUAUAAAAUAUACUGUUCUAGUGGGCCUGAAAGCAGCCACCUAAACAGAAAGCGUUAAAGCUCGGACAGAAGGAAGUUUAUUAUACCGAUAAAAAAUCUUACUCCCCUAAUUGUAUCAGGCCAACCCAUGCCCACAUGGAUGAGACUAUGCUAAAAUGAGUAACAAGAAGACCUGAUCUUCUCCCGCCACAAGUGUAGACCAGAUCGGACCAACCACUGGAAUUUAACGAGCCCAACUAAAGAGGGCAUUGUGAAUAAUAAAGACCUCAAGAAGAACUCACACUAAAUGAUCGUUAACCCCACACUGGAGUGCCAUAUUAAGGGAAAGACUAAAAGAAGGGGAAGGAACUCGGCAAACACAAGCCUCGCCUGUUUACCAAAAACAUCGCCUCCUGCAACAUUAAGUAUAGGAGGUCCAGCCUGCCCAGUGACUACGGGUUCAACGGCCGCGGUAUAUUGACCGUGCAAAGGUAGCGCAAUCACUUGUCUUUUAAAUAGAGACCUGUAUGAAUGGCUAGACGAGGGCUUAACUGUCUCCCCCCUCCAGUCAGUGAAAUUGAUCUAUCCGUGCAGAAGCGGGUAUAACAGUACAAGACGAGAAGACCCUUUGGAGCUUAAGGUACAAGACUCAGCCACGUUAAACAACUCCGUAGAAAGCAAGAACUUAGUGGCCAUGAAACUUUACCUUCGGUUGGGGCGACCACGGAGGAAAAACAAGCCUCCGAGUGGACUGGGCCAAAACCCCUAAAGCCAAGAGAGACAUCUUUAAGCCGCAGAACAUCUGACCAAUAAUGAUCCGGCUAAUAAAGCCGAUCAACGAACCAAGUUACCCUAGGGAUAACAGCGCAAUCCUCUCCCAGAGCCCAUAUCGACGAGGGGGUUUACGACCUCGAUGUUGGAUCAGGACAUCCUGGUGGUGCAGCCGCUAUUAAGGGUUCGUUUGUUCAACGAUUAAAGUCCUACGUGAUCUGAGUUCAGACCGGAGCAAUCCAGGUCAGUUUCUAUCUGUAACGCUACUUUUCCUAGUACGAAAGGAUCGGAAAAGAGGGGCCCAUACUUAGAGCAUGCCCCACCCCUAAUUCAUGAAAACAAAUAAAUUAAAUAAGGGAGGGCCAGAACCCCUGCCGCCCAAGUUAAGGGCA